rnacentral:rRNA from 1 species
UACGAAGGGGGCUAGCGUUGCUCGGAAUCACUGGGCGUAAAGGGUGCGUAGGCGGGUCUUUUAAGUCAGGGGUGAAAUCCUGGAGCUCAACUCCAGAACUGCCUUUGAUACUGAAGAUCUUGAGUUCGGGAGAGGUGAGUGGAACUGCGAGUGUAGAGGUGAAAUUCGUAGAUAUUCGCAAGAACACCAGUGGCGAAGGCGGCUCACUGGACCGGUACUGACGCUGAGGCGCGAAAGCGUGGGGAGCAAACAGGG